UCAUUUUGGGAUUUCUUUAAAGUCAAGAUGAGAUGCUCACUUGCCAUAGCUGAGCAUCUGCAGUAGGUAAAGGAUGCUCAUGCACUCCACAGGCCUGCAGUGACUGACAUCCUACCAAGCACCUGGGUGUCCUCUGAAAGUUGUGCAGAACUUUCCUACCAUGUCUUUCCCACCAAGGCUGGCUGACAUGACAGCAAGUACUGGAUAUGUUAUUUGGGGAUUUUUGAAUGCAAGGCUUUAUAAACGAGACGAGUAACAAAUCCUCUUGUUGAGGAAGGUUGUUCCCUGUAACAUAUUUCCUCUGAGACUCUGGAAGUUUUGUUCAAAAUUCAGCUGUCCGUAUUUAUUAUAGGGAAUGGUUGCAACCCCAGCCGUGAGGCACAAGAAGAGGUGCUGGUGCUAACAUGGAAGCCAGAGCUUGUGUCUGCCAGGAGGCGGGCGUAGUCAGGUCCACUUUGGAGCAUGCUGUUGUUGGCACUGAGCUCAGGAGAGCCCAGAACAUGGCGUUGUGUGCUGCGUGUCCCAGCCCCAAAAGAUUCCGUUGUGGAGGAACGGAGAGGGUGAAGGAGGCUGAGGGCCCUUUUGUCGGGGCCGGCUCCUCCGUGGCCUUUUGCUUGCCGGAGAGAAGGGCUGCCCGCUGGACACAGGGAAUGCCUUCUAGCUGCCGUCCCGUGCCCUGUCCUCCAGCCCCCUCCUCAUCCUGUGUGGAACGCCAGUGCCAGCAGUGCGGCUGCCAUUUUAGAACCUUUGCCAGUCACAGCUGUCACCUUGGUCACCGCUGCCCCGGACAACACACUCGCCUCUGAGAGCUCUGGCAGCCAUGUCAGGAGCAAAGAGAGCGAGGGGCGAAAGUUGCCCUAUUUUAAAUGGGAAGAGGGAGCUUGGGUUCCCAGAAGCGAAGAGGAGGAGGGGGCCCGCCUUGACCAUCAAGCGGAGGACGAAUGAAAAGAGAGUCCGUUUCCAUCGCGCCUGGACCGGCGCUGUGACCACCACCGUGGAGCCCAUGGAGGUGGAUCCACCUCUGCAGGAGCCCAUGGAGGUGGAUCCACCUCUGGAGGAGCCCAUGGAGGUGGAUCCGCCUGCGGCACAGCUGGCCUGGCACCACACCACCGUGCCAGGCCCCGCAUUGGCGCUGUCACAGCUUUACCAUCGCUGGUCCAGGCGCUCGGCUCCUUACCCGCUGCGCGGCCCCCGCCCCCAGCAUUAGCUGGGUGGCAUUAAUUAACAUCUGCUCCUCCUUCGAGCCUCCUCUGGAGCCAAAUUCUGUGAGCUCCCCUUCCCAUUUAAAUGCUGCAGGAGUUAUAUUUCAGUUCUUGUUUCUGUUGUUGAUUUUAGUGUUUAGUUUUAGUGUUAGGAGUAGAUUAUUGUUCGUAUUUUAGAGUUAGGCAUAGGUUACUUUUAGUAUUUUAGUGUUAGGCAUAGUUACUGUUCUUAUUUUAGAGUUAGGCAUAGGUUCCUGUUCUUAUUUUAGAGUUAGGCAUAGGUUACUCUUAGUCUUUUAGUGUUAGGCAUAGGUUAUUGUUCAUACUUCAGAGAUAGGGGUAGAUUGCUCCUAUCAACUGGAAGUUAGCAGUGCUCACUCGACUGUCGAUGAGCGGAGUCUGAGUGUCAGUGAAAUUAAUUUGGGACUCAGAAGAACAAUAUCUAAUUGUGUCACAAAUGUCCUGCGUGGCCACUGCAAGAGAUGUCCUCUUAUACGACAUAUCCCAUCAGUAACUCCUCCAUACCUGAAGAUUUUCCAAUUACAUAACCACCUCAGGAAGCAGAAGAAUAAGACCUGGGAUUGCACCUCUGAUGCAAUGAGCUGCAGCAUGACCAGGAAGGUCGAUCCAUUGCCCACCAAAAAUCACCUUCUGCUCACCAGGACAUCAAACCUCGCAGCAUCCUCAUACAAUGAGAACCUUUUGCUGGAUCCCCACCUGGGAGCAAGUUUUUGCUGAUUGAGAAGCUCAUGAGAUACAUCUAAUUUCCCUGGAGGUCCUCGGGGAAGCAGUGGUCAGACAAUCCUUUCCUAGCCUGCUUUGGGCAACGCUGGUGGUACAGCACUGCUGGCACUGCAUGUGGGCUGCUGUGCUGAUACUGGGCUCCUCGGGCAGAGUGAGAUUCAGCCUUCAGUGUUACAGCAGUCAUUAUUGCAAAGGAGCAGUUUGGGAACAAACUGUCAUCACAAACAUCUGUGAUGGUCACAGAUACUGAACCAACUGGAUAAAGCACCAGUCUAAUACAUUUCCGUGAAGAGUUUCAAAGUUGGUGUUUCCCAGAGGAAAAAAUAUAGGAGCACACUUUUCAUCUCAUUCCACUUGACCCAGCAGACCAAGCUGGGCUCCAGGAGUUACACACAUCUGAAAUGAGCUGUGAGGUGCAGCCAUGCUCUCCCUGUCACUCAGGAAGCCCACUGCCAGGGCACAGCUGUGGGACAGGAGCUGAUGCCCGUGCCCAGCUGAUGAAGUGAAGGGACUGUGAGCUGCUGGCUCUGAAGUAAAAACAAUCACUCUGAAAUCUCAGAGCUUCCUCAGAAAUGUAAAAAAAUGGGGUGGGAGCACAAGUUAAUUGUGCUUUUACACACUGUUAUACUUGUCACCGUGCCAGACUCUACAUUUCUUCCAAGGGUGAAAUGAAAACUCCAAAUUCAUGUGGUUAUGAAACAAUUUCAGUAUGAGCACUCAGUGAAGAAUUAUAAAGUGGGAAAGACACAGUCCUGUGUCUCAGCUGCUUGAGAAGGCACUGAAUUGAUCAAGGCAUCUUCCAGCUUAGAGGAGUUUUCUGGAGUGUACUGAAAACAUUCUGCAUCUGCAUAUUGAAUGCGUAUAAAGAACUGCAGAAAAGCUGAUGUGAUAUGACAUUACUUUGAUUAGGAGAUGAGACAACUGGCAGAAGGCAUCGUUAUUCCAAGAAGUCUCAUUUCUCUGCAUCUAGAAAUUUAGGAAAUGAGUCUGGUUUGCCUGCUUUACACCAGAAUAGACUCAUACACUGCAAAUAUGGCAAGAACUCACUGGCACUAUAGGGUAAUCCUGGAGAUAAGAUCCUGGUGGGAGACCGGGAUGAGCAAGGACUGAACACCUUUUUCUCUGCCUACAGUGUAUGGUGACUGUUGAGUCACGGCCUGAACCACUGAUUGAUCACCUGAGGCAAGGACUGGGUCAGCCAUGGGGUACAG